rnacentral:lncRNA from 10 species
GUGCGGCUUCUACUGCGGCUGCGCAAGCUCGACGCGCGCACUCUUGUCUGCUUACGAGGGCUCCUCCCUUCAGCUUUGGUCCCUCGGGGCGUCUGGGCAGCCUACGCUUUCCGACUGGAAUCAGCCAUUUUACCAAGAAAGUUGGGUUUCUUUUACUGGCAAAUAGUACUUCAAGAGCACAGUCUUAUGUAAGAAGUACAGUCUAUAUAAAGACUGUCCAGGACAAAAACUGGCCACUCCAUUCAGCAUUGACAGCAGUAUUUAAAGCUGGUGCAUGGUGAGGUGAAGUUUCUCAAGGGCAAAGACAAUGCCUUCAUGCAUGUUCAGUGUCUGCCCCCGUGGGCUUUGAAAUGAUCGCUGACAAUGGGGGAUCUGCAGUGACUUCUCUGCCUCUGCCAAAGCCCAGGGGUGCUGCUCCCUAAUUCUAAGGAUUCUAAUGAGACUCAGAGCAGGUGUAACACAGGGCAUGGAGCUUCCUGAGCAAGAGGCUGGCUAACAAACUGUGGACGUGGUACUUAGACACAUUAAGAGACAUUACAGGGACACCUGCAAGUAUGUCUCCCUGGGGAGAAGCCAAGUGCAGAUGCUAUGGCCACAGAUGAUAUGGUUUGGCUCUGUGUCCCCACUCAAAUCUCAUCUCAAGUUGUAAUCCCUGGAUGUCGAGGGAGGGACCUGGUGGGAGGUGAUUGGAUUGGUUCGCAUGAUAGUGAGGGAGUUCUCACGAGAUCUGGUUGUUUGAUAAGUGUCUGGCAUUUCUCCUGUGCUGUCUCUCCUGCCACCUUGUGAAGAAGGUGCCUGCUUCUCCUUCGCCUUCCGCCAUGAUUGUAAGUUUCCUGAGGCCUCCCUAGCAAUGCAGAACUGUGAGUCAAUUAAACUUCCUUUCUUUAUAAAUUA